rnacentral:rRNA from 1 species
UCAGGAUGAACGCUGGCGGCGUGCCUAACACAUGCAAGUCGAACGAGCGAGAGAUGAAACCUAGUGAUUCUCGAGCGAGUGGCGGACGGGUGAGUAACGCGUGGGUAACCUGCCUUACAGAGGGGGAUAACAGUUUGAAAAGACUGCUAAUACCGCAUAAGCACACAGUACCGCAUGGUACAGGGUGAAAAGAUUUAUCACUGUAAGAUGGGCCCGCGUCUGAUUAGCCAGUUGGCAGGGUAACGGCCUACCAAAGCGACGAUCAGUAGCCGACCUGAGAGGGUGAUCGGCCACAUUGGGACUGAGACACGGCCCAAACUCCUACGGGAGGCAGCAGUGGGGGAUAUUGCACAAUGGAGGAAACUCUGAUGCAGCCGACGCCGCGUGAGUGAAGAAGUAUUUCGGUAUGUAAAGCUCUAUCAGCAGGGAAGAUAAUGACAGUACCUGACCAAGAAGCCCCGGCUAACUACGUGCCAGCCGCCGC